CUCACCUUAUCCGCCUCCACCCCUCACCGCCCCCACCACCUGAACUAGCUUCAGAUCGGCUCCUCCCCUCCCCUCUCCACUCCACAACAGCCAUGGCUGGAGGCUGAUGGAGACGUUUUUCACCUCCCCCAUUUCUAUCCUCCCGUAAAAAUCAAGUCCACCCAGCCAGACCCCGUCUCUCACCAGUUCUGGCGGCGGCGUGCAGCACCCGGCGAUCUAAGAAACAGUACUGCUAGCAGUAGUGGCGGACAAUGGCGAGCAGCAGCGCAAGGAGCGGCGAUGCGGCUGAUGGGCGAGCUGUGGACCGGGCUGCUCGUCGAGCGGUGGCGCGUGUGGAUGGCCGAGCGACAACGCAGGCUGAAGGGUUCUAUUCUGCUGUGGUCUCCUUCUCAUGAAGGGUAAAGGAGGUGGGAGAUCCAUAUCGCUAGCUUCAUCCAAUGUCAAAUCCAUGUACCAAGCAAGCGGCCAAGAAUGCCUUCUCCCUGCCCGGCUAGAAGUUGGAUCCUUCCAAGAGGGAACCUCUCAGGAUUUUCUACGAGUCACUGUCCAAAAAGUACAUAUAUGUUUUCAUUCAUCUGAUUUUUAAAAAAAUUUGACAGAGGGAACCUCUCAGAAUUUUCUACGAGUCACUGCCCAAAAAGAUCCAAUCCAGUGAGAUGGCCGACUUCAGGGGGGUGGGAAGCAAUAUUGGAGGCGGUCUGAGUCAUGAUAAUAAUCAUUCCAUUAAUGAUGAUGACGAUAACACCUAUGACAUCAAGGCAGGGGAUAUCUCGUGCGAUAAACAUUAUGAUCCAUAUGGCGAUGAAUGAGAUACUAACUCUGGCGAUGAUGGUGACUAGUUUAACAAUCUUAUUCAAGGCACGCAACAAAGCGAAGUUUUGAAGAUUGAGGGCAAUUUAGCUUAUGCAAAUUGCCUGAACCAUUAUAUCAUGCAUAGUUACUAUUUUGUUUUGCAUUCUACAUUCCCUAGAUGGAUCGCUAGGGUUAAUGUAAAUCGUAUGGAACUCAUUAGGCUUGUAGUACUUUCUUAGAUAUGCAAAAUAUAAUAUAUGUUUUUGGGUCA